rnacentral:pre_miRNA from 14 species
UUUUGAGAUGGAAUUUUCCUAUUCUUGUAUGUCUGCAUCUACAGCUGAAAGACCCCCAGAGCGGGGAGACCCUCACUCAAGUCUCGGGAUGAUGCGACCCCCAAGAAUUCACGUAAGAGC